UUGUCAUUAAUUAAUGACUCUCAUAACAUAGUUGUCCCUUUUCUUUGUCACCUAACAACUCUAUGGAUCCAUGGAAAACGAAGAAGAAGAAGAAAAAACAUGGGUAGAAUUCAUAAGGAGAUCAAUAAAGGUGCUUGGUCUCGCGAAGAAGAUGAUAUUCUCUCUAAAUAUGUUGCCAUUCAUGGAGAAGGAAAAUGGCAAAAGGUUGCCCAAAAUGCAGGUUUAAAGCGAUGUGGAAAAAGUUGUCGACAAAGAUGGUUGAAUUAUCUAAAACCAGGUAUAAAGAGAGGCGACAUUUCUCCGGAUGAAGAGGAUAUGAUCAUAAGACUUCAUCGUCUUCUUGGUAACAGAUGGUCUUUGAUAGCUAAGAGAUUACCCGGACGAACAGACAAUGAAAUCAAGAACUAUUGGAAUACGAAUCUAUCAAAGAAGCUACAAAAACGACAUACAUCAUCAUCAUUUUCUGUCUCACUUCAAAACAAAUAUAGUCAUGUUGCACCAGAAGCUCCAAGGCCAAGGAGAUUGAAGAUUGUUCAUCAAAACAACAAAAUUUCGGAGAAUAACAAUGUAAGCGAAUGUGAUCAAGGAAGUGAUGAAACCUCAAUCGCCGAUUUCCUCAUUGACAAUGAUCAUCAAGACAAUUUGUUGGUUGAUGAUGAUGAGUCCAACACUACAAACUCAAAGAUUCCACAAAUGGAAGAAGAUCACAAGAAGGUAGUUUCAACCAAUAGUACUCAUAGCUCAUCAUCACCUUCUGAUCAUUUUCAUCUUGUAUCAGAGAAAUUUGAUCCUCUAGAUAAUCUUUUGGAUGUGGAGCUCAAGAAGAUGGCUUCUUUUCUUGGACUUGAAAAUGAUUGAGAGAGGUUUGUUGCAAUCAAAGGACCAAGAGAAGAAAAAAGUCAAAGGGAUGAUGUUUUCAAAGCUGUCUUUCAAGUCAAUGCUCACAAUAAACUUGAGAACGAAGGUUUUUCAAUGGUUCAUCGAAGAAGAUGGAUGUCUGCGCGCCUCUCAAAUCGGAUAGUAGAUUAAAGCACCGUGCUUUGACCAUUCUUAGGUUUAUAAGGGGUGUGAUAUGUUUGGUGGUGUUUCUUUCAACAACUUUAAUGUGCUUGGUAUAUCUUUCGUCACUUGCAGUUGUAGGAUUGCAGUUUUUCCAGUGUUCUCGUUUUUCUUUAAACUUUGGUUAUCUAUGUGGGCGUUUCUUUUAAAAAAGAUAAACACAACUAAAGUUGUGUUUUCUGGCGAUAAUAUUCCAUUGAGGGAACAUGUGUUACUUAUUGCAAAUCACAGAACUGAGGUUGAUAGGAUGUACUGCAGUACUGGAAGAUUGUAACCUUCUUGUCCAAGAAAAUGUAGUGGAUGAUAAAAAUGGUAAAGAAGAAGACAAGUUAAAUGCUGAUAAUGUGUGUAUUUACCAUUGAUUCUUCAGCUACAACUGAUAUGGAUGAUGCACUAUCAAUUGAGAAGUUGCGUAAUGGAAAUUAUACAGUAAACAAAAUUGGAUAGUUUGUCUGAUUUUUGAAUUUGCUACAAAUAAGCUAUGAGAUUAGCUACAUAUUAUUAGCUGAGAAUUUUUAUGGGUUCAAGUAUGAUGUUAACCUUAGCCACAUGACACACCACAUCAACAUAUUUGCAACGCUGCCGCUGCCACGUGUAUACUAAACAACCAAAAAACUUCCAUGUGGUGUGCCA